GCCAUGACUCGGAUCAGGGCACCUCCCUUGGGAGAUCAAUCCCUUGUCCUCCUGCUCUUUGCUCGGUGAGAAAGAUCCACCUACGACCUCAGGUCCUCAGACCAACCAGCCCAAGAAACAUCACACCAAUUUCAAAUCCGUUCCUCAAUCUGCUUGUGGUGAAAACUUUUCAGUCAGUUCAGAGGGACCUCUGUCAAAUCUUGCUUCAAAGAGAAUAAAAUACCUAGGAAUCCAGCUUACGAGGGAUGUGAAGGACCUCUUCAAGGAGAACUACAAACCACUGCUCAAUGAAAUAAAAGUGGACAAACACAAAUGGAAAAACAUUCCAUGCUCAUGGAUAGGAAGAAUCAAUAUCAUGAAAAUGGCCACAGUGCCCAAGGUAAUUUAUAGUUUCAAUGCCAUCUGCAUCAAGCUACCAAUGACUUUCUUCACAGAAUUGGA
rnacentral:lncRNA from 10 species